rnacentral:miRNA from 1 species
UAGCAGGCAUGUGUUCAUUCC